GGUACUGGUACUUCAACAGCAAAAAGACACUGUCUAUAUCUACAUUUGAUGUCUAAGUGUUAGGUUAGGCUUAUUUCUAUUGCUCAGAAAAAAGGAAGAUUAUCUUACUUUCCUCACUUUUCUUCAUGAUUCGCAGUAUAUUCCACAGGUUCUUUGCUCUCCGCUGCAGAUGAAUUGGUGACAAAGGAUGUCAAAAGACUUCCCCUCCAGCAAGCUCAGUGGAGAUGCCCCCCAUCCCCUGGCACUAUGAACAAGGAUAUAGCAACUAUAACUGCAUCACCUUUGUGGCUCCUUUCCACCUCACUGCCUAAAUCAACAUUUUCUACAGCAUGCUCACCACAAAGUGGAGGAGCAUCGGAUAUAGCAGCGCCUGGACCAAAUAACAGCUGAUUAGUCUGUUACCUUGCUCAU